rnacentral:rRNA from 1 species
AAUCUACCUUAGUUACAGGGAUAGCCCGAGGAAACUCGGAUUAAUACCUGAUAUUCUUUAUAUUUCGCAUGAAAUUAAAAGGAAAGGUCAGCCGAACUAAGAUGAGCUCGCGUUCUAUCAGCUAGUUGGUGAGGUAAAAGCUUACCAAGGCUACGACGGAUAGCUGGUCUGAGAGGACGAUCAGCCACACUGGGACUGAGACACGGCCCAGACUCCUACGGGAGGCUGCAGCAGGGAAUAUUGCGCAAUGAGCGAAAGCUUGACGCAGCGACACCGCGUGUGGGAUGACGGAUCUAGGUUUGUAAACCACUUUCAGGAGGGAAGAAAAUGACGGUACCUCCACAAGAAGCCCCGGCCAACUACGUGCCAGCAGCCGCGGUAAUACGUAGGGGGCGAGCGU